AGUGAACGCUGGCGGUAGGCCUAACACAUGCAAGUCGAACGGCAGCACAGUAAGAGCUUGCUCUUACGGGUGGCGAGUGGCGGACGGGUGAGGAAUACAUCGGAAUCUACUUUUUCGUGGGGGAUAACGUAGGGAAACUUACGCUAAUACCGCAUACGACCUACGGGUGAAAGCAGUGGAUCUUCGUACCUUUCGCGAUUGAAUGAGCCGAUGUCGGAUUAGCUAGUUGGCGGGGUAAAGGCCCACCAAGGCGACGAUCCGUAGCUGGUCUGAGAGGAUGAUCAGCCACACUGGAACUGAGACACGGUCCAGACUCCUACGGGAGGCAGCAGUGGGGAAUAUUGGACAAUGGGCGCAAGCCUGAUCCAGCCAUACCGCGUGGGUGAAGAAGGCCUUCGGGUUGUAAAGCCCUUUUGUUGGGAAAGAAAAGCAGCAGGUUAAUACCCCGCUGUUCUGACGGUACCCAAAGAAUAAGCACCGGCUAACUUCGUG
rnacentral:rRNA from 1 species